UUUAUAUUUUUAUCCAUUCAGCAAUUUAUCAAACUUUUCCUCUAUUAUCCGCUUCGUUUUGGGAUCUUGAUUCUAUGCUGACCCAUUUUCAACUCUGGGAAGAGAUGGUCCAUAUUAGUUUGUCAUUUGACCACAGCUAUGCUGAAGCACUGCC